CAUAUGCACCCCAACCCAGUACCUAAUGGCAACCCAGGCUUGUGCCCCAACUGGGAAUCAAACCAGUGAACCAGUUGUUCUGUGUGUGGGAGGACACCAAAACAACUGAGCCACACCCACUGGGGGGGGAGGGUGCUUUUAAAAUAGUUGGAAUCCUAGAAUUUUAGAGUUGGAAAAGACCUUAG